UGAUUGAAUCUGUGACAUCAAUUGUUGUUGUGGAAGCUGUGGUUGUGACUGCUGCCCUUGAGUUGUCAACAUAUUAGUUGCAGUUUGCUGCUGCAAUGGAACCUUGGACUGUUGCAGCAUGUGUACAGAGUGCUGAUUAGCUUGCAUGCUUGAGUUGCCAGUCUGGGUUCCAAGCAACUGCUGCUGUUGUUGCUGCUGUAAACCAGGGACAUUACUUUGCGAGCCUAAUUGCUGUUGAUGCAUACUUGGGAGGUUAUUUUGCUGAACCAUUAACUGCUGCUGCUGGUGUUGUUGUUGUUGCUGCUGCAGAUUUUGAAGGUUAUUCUGCUGGCCCAGUAAUCUCUGCUGCUGCUGCUGCUGUAUGUCUCCAACAUUGUUUGGUUGUCCAAUUAACUGAUUUUGCUGCAUAUUAGUGCCAUUAGGUUGUUGGCCCAUUAGCUGCUGUUGCUGAUGCUGGGGGGGCAACAGUUGCUGCUGCAUCAUUGAUGUUUGCUGUUGAUGAAUGCUAGAAGCCUGUUGCAGCUGUUGCUGCCUGAGGACUGAUUGUGGAUGUUGUUGAAGCACGGAUUGUGUUGAUUGUUGAACAGGAGGAGGCUGACCCUGUUGAAGACCAGAAAUUACUGAUUGCAUCAUAGAUGGCUGCAUAACAGAUGAUGUUUGCAUACUUGAUUGCUGAGAAGAUUGCAACUGAGUUGGCUGUAAAAGGUU
rnacentral:misc_RNA from 1 species